rnacentral:rRNA from 1 species
UACGGAGGGUGCGAGCGUUGUCCGGAAUCACUGGGCGUAAAGGGCGCGUAGGCGGUGCGAUAAGCGUGCGGUGAAAGCCUGGGGCUCAACCCCGGGUCGGCCGUGCGAACUGUCGGACUCGAGCACUGUAGGGGCAGGCGGAAUUCCGGGUGUAGCGGUGGAAUGCGUAGAGAUCCGGAAGAACACCGGUGGCGAAGGCGGCCUGCUGGGCAGUGGCUGACGCUGAGGCGCGACAGCGUGGGGAGCAAACAGG